UACGUAGGUGGCAAGCGUUGUCCGGAUUUACUGGGCGUAAAGAGCGCGCAGGCGGUCGUUCAAGUCGCGUGUGAAAGCCCCCGGCUCAACUGGGGAGGGUCACGCGAUACUGAUCGACUCGAAGGCAGGAGAGGGUAGUGGAAUUCCCGGUGUAGUGGUGAAAUGCGUAGAUAUCGAGAGGAACACCUGCGGCGAAGGCGGGUAGCUGGGCCGACACUGACGUGAGGCGCGAAAGCCAGGGGAGCGAACGGG
rnacentral:rRNA from 1 species